ensembl:snRNA U2 U2 spliceosomal RNA
UCACCUUAGCUAGAUGGCAUUUUGUAGUAUCUGUUCUUAUCAGUUUAAUAUCUGAUACAUCCUCCAAAGACUCUAAGACUACAUAUCAAAUAGAUUUUUAGAACAGGGAGACGGAAGAGGAGCUUGCAUCAUCUGCUCCAUGCAUCAACCUGGUAUUGCAAUACCUCCAGGAAAAGUGCACCUUUU